UACCAGCUCUCCGAGUGGUAGGGAUGAUUAUUGGGCUUAAAGCGUCCGUAGCCGGCUUAGCAAGUCUCCUGUUAAAUUCAGCGACCUAAUCGUUGAGCCGCGGGAGACACUACUAGGCUAGGAGGCGGGAGAGGCCGACGGUAUUCUCGGGGUAGGGGUGAAAUCCUAUAAUCCCGGGAGGACCACCAGUGGCGAAGGCUGUCGGCUAGAACGCGCUCGACGGUGAGGGACGAAAGCUGGGGGAGCGAACCGGAUUAGAUACCCUGGUAGUCCCAGCUGUAAACGAUGCGGGCUAGGUGUUGGGGUGGCUACGAGCCACUUCAGUGCCGCAGGGAAGCCAUUAAGCCCGCCGCCUGGGGAGUACGGCCGCAAGGCUGAAACUUAAGGAAUUGGCGGGGGAGCACCACAAGGCGUGAAGCUUGCGGUUC
rnacentral:rRNA from 1 species